rnacentral:rRNA from 1 species
AUGAAGGACGUUACUAACGACGAUAUGCUUUGGGGAGCUGUAAGUAAGCUUUGAUCCAGAGAUUUCCGAAUGGGGAAACCCAGCAUGAGUUAUGUCAUGUUAUCGAUAUGUGAAUACAUAGCAUAUCAGAAGGCACACCCGGAGAACUGAAACAUCUUAGUACCCGGAGGAAGAGAAAGAAAAUUCGAUUCCCUUAGUAGCGGCGAGCGAAACGGGAAGAGCCCAAACCAACAAGCUUGCUUGUUGGGGUUGUAGGACACUCUAUACGGAGUUACAAAGGACGACAUUAGACGAAUCAUCUGGAAAGAUGAAUCAAAGAAGGUAAUAAUCCUGUAGUCGAAAAUGUUGUCUCUCUUGAGUGGAUCCUGAGUACGACGGAGCACGUGAAAUUCCGUCGGAAUCUGGGAGGACCAUCUCCUAAGGCUAAAUACUCUCUAGUGACCGAUAGUGAACCAGUACCGUGAGGGAAAGGUGAAAAGCACCCCGGAAGGGGAGUGAAAUAGAACCUGAAACCGUG